AGCGCUGAACUUCGGCAGGAGCUUUGAGGUUCCAAUGGGCCCGUGCUGGGCACUGAGGAUACAGGAGAAAAUCUGUUCUCACAAGAGCUCUCUGUAAAGUGGAAGAAACCUACGUUGAAUUAAUAAUCACAACGCUGUGACAAACGCAGCUUUAAAAACGUGUUCAAGUGUCCUGAAGGCAUCCGGGCCGUGCUUCUGGGGCCGCCCAGAGCCAGCAAGGGUACCCAGGCACCCAAGUUGACUGAAAACUUCUGUGUCUGCUAUUUGGCUACUGGGGACAUGCUGAGGGCCAUGGUGGCUUCUGGCUCAGAGCUGGGAAAAAAGCUGAAGGCAACUACGGAUGCUGGGAAACUGGUGAGCGAUGAAAUGGUCGUGGAGCUCAUUGAGAAGAAUUUGGAGACGCCUCCAUGCAAAAGUGGUUUUCUUCUAGAUGGCUUCCCUCGGACUGUGAGGCAGGCAGAAAUGCUUGAUGACCUCAUGGAGGAGAGGAAAGAGAAGCCUGAUUCUGUGAUUGAAUCCAGCAUCCCAGACUCUCUGCUGAUGCGGAGAAUCACAGGAAGACUGAUUCACCCCGAGAGUGGCCGUGCCUACCACGAGGAGUUCAACCCCCCAAAGGAGCCCAUGAAAGACGAUAUCGCCGGGGAACCCUUGGUCCGCCAAUCAGAUGAUAAUGAGAAGGCCUUGAAAAUCCGCCUGGAGACCUAUCACACCCAGACUGCCCCGCUGGUGGAGUACGACAGUAAACGGGGGAUCCGCUCUGCCAUCGACGCAUCCCAGACCCCUGACGUUGUGUCUGCAAGCAUCCUAGCAGCCUUCUCCAAAGCCACAUCCUAGUAACAGAAGGCCAGGCGAGACUGCACCACUGCUCGUCACCCUGCGGCGUGAUCCCUGCUCUUAGGUGCUGGGCAGAGGGGAGGGGCGGUCAGGGUAAGGAUGGAGAGGGAGGGUUGGUGAGGGCUCAAGAGGAGAAUGGGAAGAGCAGCAGUGUCGUAGUGAAGCAAU